CUUAUAAUUUGUGGAUGAUCAAGAGAAAAUGUUCUUGCCUUAGAAAAAGAGGGCAUUCACCUCCACUUUUUUUUUAUUCUUUCUAAAUCAUUAAUUCUUUAAACGUGUUCCUUUUAUCUUAUAAGAAACAAGUGUGGGGGGAGGGGAUGAGACCAUGUACUUCUUCCAGAGCCUUCUUUCACCUCUACCCAUUUGUUCAGUCUCCUGGUUUUGCAGUCUCAAUCCAGCCAUUAUUUCUUCAGUUCCCAGAGGUCCCUGAAUAACACUCUCUGAAGAGGAGGUUACUGCCCCAAAGAAACUCACUACCAAAUGCAGUCAAGGCAGAUGUACAAGUAGACGAAUGAGAGAUGAUGGGGGAAAAACACCCCAGAUGUUGCAGAUUUAUAACCCAGACCAGGUCCCACUCCUGAGGCCCCGUUUGUUGCUCUGGGCUUGUCUCUUGCAGGGCCUCUGAGUGGGGACAAGUAACAGUUACAGAAGUGAGACCAGAUACCCCAGUUUCUCCUUGUCAUGGUGUGUCUCCUUCCUGAUCCCCCACAAGGCUGUUUAGGUUCUGGGUGUUGACUCCUAUUGCAGCUGGCUGGAAUGACGGAGCAUCUCCUGACAGGGUUCCACUUCAGCAGGUACUCAGAGGGCAGUUCAUCUCAGGAACAAUGCACUGAGCAUCUGUGUGUUGGAUACUGUGGCGGGCUUGGGAGCAAAAGAUGAAGAUGACGUGGUCCCUGCUCUGGAGGGAGUUCCUCUCACAGGCUGGACAGACGCAGAGACACUUUCAGCAGGCACAGCAGUGGGGGAGAGGGGAGGAACGGUAGGGCUGAGAAUGGGAGCUUCUCCACCCUGAGGGGAUGCCUCCGAGGGCUGAGACUUGAGGAUGAGUGAGAAGCGACAGCCACGAAGGCCCCCAGGCCCCGAAAGCCUUUCAAGCAUGGAGACCAACUGGGCCAAGGCCUGGAAGUGCCGGCAGCACAAGGGAACUAAAAGCAAUGAGAAGCCACCGCUCAUAAAUUCCUCUUACGACCUUCCAGAAUUAUCCAAUGGAGAGUACUGAGUUCUUGCGGCAACUCACAUUUGGUUGGGAACACGUUAAGAAGGCAUUUGUCUGCCUAAUGACCUGCAAGCAGGAAGGAUAUUCUGUGACCUUACUUUGUUCUGUUGACCUUCCCUGGGGACGCCUCACCCGAGGACAGUGGGCGCAGAGGGUGCUGCAGAAGCUGUAUCACCUUCAUUCUCUGCUAGCUUCAUGGUCUACAUGGGACAGCCCUUCAGUCUAUUAUUUUACAGUUGUAUUUGU
ensembl:lncRNA